UUGGAGGGCAAGUCUGGUGCCAGCAGCCGCGGUAAUUCCAGCUCCAAUAGCGUAUAUUAAAGUUGUUGCAGUUAAAAAGCUCGUAGUUGAAUUUCGGGAUCAAUAUUUCGGUCAUGCCGUUGGUAUGCACUGUUAUCAUUGAUUUCUCACCUUCUAAAGAACCGUAAUGCCAUUAAUUUGGUGUUACGGGGAAUUAGGACUGUUACCUUGAAAAAAUUAGAGUGUUUAAAGCAGGCUCACGCUUGAAUACAUUAGCAUGGAAUAAUGAAAUAGGACAUCCGAUUCUAUUUUGUUGGUUUCUAGGAUCGAUGUAAUGAUUAAUAGGGAUAGUUGGGGGCAUUAGUAUUCAAUUGUCAGAGGUGAAAUUCUUGGAUUUAUUGAAGACUAACUACUGCGAAAGCAUUUGCCAAGGAUGUUUUCAUUAAUCAAGAACGAAAGUUAGGGGAUCGAAGACGAUCAGAUACCGUCGUAGUCUUAACCAUAAACUAUGCCGACUAGGGAUCGGAUGAUGUUAAUUUUUUAAUGACUCAUUCGGCACCUUACGGGAAAC
rnacentral:rRNA from 1 species